GGAAAAGACAUACAGGCCAUCUUCCCCAUCCCUGAAUAGAAGCUCAGCUCCUGAAAUCGUUUGGGUAAGCAAUUGCUGAUUUUAGUCAAAUUCCCUCACUUCACAAAAAGUGAAGUUUCUGAAAAGUAAUACAGCAGGCAAAGAAAAUCUGCAGGAGACAGCAGAAGGAAAAGCAAUUAUUCUGAAUAAUCUACACAUAAAAAAUAUGAUUUUGUUUGAUAUUUACCACCCCCUUCAAUUCUGAGGAGCGAUUACUUCCAAAGAUGUGCAUUGAAUGAACUGACUUGAACGACUGACUGCAGAGUCAUGGUACAGAAAAUGGGCUGGUUUCAGGGCCUGUAGAAACCAUUACAAUGGAAUGACAGAAUUAACA
rnacentral:lncRNA from 1 species